UCGUACGAGAAAUCUCCUGCUUGCAGGGGAGAGUAAAGUGGCGCACGGGUGAGUAACACGUGGGUAAUCUACCUUCGAAUCGGGGAUAACGCCGCGAAAGUUAUGCUAAUACCCGGUAACAUCUGAGAGGUUGCGGCCUUUCAGAUCGAAGAGGGCCUCUACAUGUAAGCUCUCGUUUGAAGAUGAGCCCGCGGGCCAUUAGCUUGUUGGUAGGGUAAAAGCCUACCAAGGCGACGAUGGUUAGCUGGUCUGAGAGGAUGACCAGCCACACUGGAACUGAGACACGGUCCAGACUCCUACGGGAGGCAGCAGUGAGGAAUCUUGCGCAAUGGGGGAAACCCUGACGCAGCAACGCCGCGUGAGUGAAGGAGGCCUUCGGGUCGUAAAGCUCUGUCAAGUGGGAAGAAAAUGUUUUGUGAUAAUACCACAGAGCACUGACGGUACCACUGAAGGAAGCACCGGCUAACUCCGUGCCAGCAGCCGCGGUAAUACGGAGGGUGCAAGCGUUAUUCGGAAU
rnacentral:rRNA from 1 species